rnacentral:pre_miRNA from 1 species
CCAACACCUGUCUAUAUAGAAUUAUUUCUUGUUGCUAAUCCAAUAAAAUAUAUGAUAUUGAAAAACAAAA